GAUGAAGAACGUAGCGAAACGCGAUAGUUAAUGUGAAUUGCAGAAUUCAGUGAAUCAUCGAGUCUUUGAACGCACAUUGCGCCUUUUGGUAUUCCGAGAGGCACGCCUGUCUGAGCGUCAGUAAAACCCUUCGGUUUGACGAUUUAUUGUCAUCGCCGGCGUUGGCGGUUUUUGAGGUCUUCAUGGCCUUAAUUCCGUUUAAACACUGACACGCGGAGAAUAAGGAGUUAAAGGAUUUAACCCCUCAUCGAUUAGUAGAAAUAUUUAUCUUUGAGAUUUAAUUACUUUAUCCCCUACCCGCUAUACAAAAUAGGGAGCCCUUGGGCACCCGACCAUCAAUUUUGACCUCAGAUCAGACGAGGAUACCCGCUGAACUUAAGCAUAUCAAUAAGCGGAGGA
rnacentral:misc_RNA from 1 species